UGCAUGUGAAAGUACAAACCAAAGGCAACGUAAUAUAUUACCCCAUUUUCAAAAAAAGUUGCAAAAUAAAACUGAUUUUAGGAGAAUUUUUCAACUCUCAUUUAACAUAAGUUCCCAAUUUUUUUUUCUUUUUUCUGAGACUUUCUGGAGUUAAGGACGUCCCAAAUAGUGUAACUAUAUUUCUAGGACCGUUAUAAAGUGCAGGUGAGGAAUAAAGGAAGACCUUGAUUUGAACACCUUCAAGGAACUUAAUCACUCUCUUACUUGCUAAAUUUGGGUUUCAGCAAUUUCAGUGGGUGCUUGAUGGGCAUAACUUAUUGAUAUAUUUCCCUUUCAAUCUUAUAUUUGUUAGUUUCUUUUAUUUGUUAUUUUAGUUAAUUAAAUUGUUUUGUUGAAAAGGGUAAUAAAUUGAAGGUUAGGGAGAAAAAAAUGCUUAAAGGAAUCAAAAUUGCAGAGAAUUUUAAAGAUUAUUGACUUUGUUGUUAUUGGGCUUAAGUCUGAAUUGGAAUUAAAUCUAUUGCCAACCUCUAAGGAAAGCCCAUGAGAAGGAAUAGAAAAAUAAAUGGACUUAGAUAAUUUAAUUUGGAAUCAAAGUGGAGAGCACGUGCAAGGCCUUUUAAUUUCCUUAAAUUGUAAUGUGGCAGUGGCCAACUUCUUCACUAUGUAUAUAUAUAUAAAGGCAAGCUUCCGGGUUUUGACACACAAGCAACAAGCCUUGCAAAGAGGUGCAAGAUUUGGAGGACGCAGCUUGAACAUGAAUUUUGUAGAAAAUAUGGAAAGAUUAGAAUAGUUGACAUUCCUGAUUUCUAGGAUUAGUUGUCUAAUUUGUCUGAUUUGUAAAGCUAUUACUAAUUUGUAUAUUUCCAGAAAUUAGGAAGUUAAAUUAGGAAUGUGCAGUCCUAUAAAUUAACCCUAUUGUACUGGCUGUUAGAGGUACUUAAAAGAUAUUUAUUCUUCUCCUCUGUUAACAUGGUAUCAGAGCUAUGGCAGAAUUAAGCCUGGCUUGACUCCCAUACGGAUCUGUUCAUUGUCUUGUUGUAAUGGUGCAAAACACCAUGCCUGGGGUUACAGUAACUGGUGAUACCAAUUCCACUGCUACAUCUACUGGAAUUGGUGCAGGGGAGUUUCUUCCGUUGGGAUCUGGAAACUUGAACGGAAGUGAGAGUUUUCCCAUGCAAUUAACCGGUCACAAAUUGAACGGUAAGAACUAUCUAGAAUGGGCGCAAUCCAUUAAGUUGGUGGUCGAUGGCAAGGGUAGACUUGGCUACAUCACCGGUGAGACGAAGGAGCCGGAAAAAACUGAUCCAACAUGGAAGACUUGGAAGUCGGAAAAUUCCCUAGUUAUGUCCUGGUUGAUCAAUUCCAUGGAGGUUUCUAUUGGGAGGACGUAUUUGUUUCUUCCCACCGCAAAGGAUGUAUGGGAUGCAGUCCGAGAAACGUAUUCUGAUCUAAAAAAUUCAUCACAGAUUUUUGAAUUGAAAACAAGACUAUGGCAGACUAGGCAAGGUGAUCGUGCUGUUUCUGAGUAUUACAACGAGAUGAAGGUCUUAUGGCAGGAGCUUGAUCUCUGCUAUGAAGAUGAUUGGGCCUGUAUGACAGAUAGUGUUCGUUAUUUAAAACAAAUUGAAGAUGAUCGUGUUUAUGAAUUUUUGGCAGGUUUGAAUAAGAGCCUUGAUGAAGUGAGAGGCCGGAUUCUUGGCAGAAUUCCUUUGCCAUCAAUCCGGGAAGUAUUUUCAGAAGUACGACGAGAGGAAGGUCGACGCAAAGUGAUGUUAGGAGAAAAAACUGUAUCUGCUCCAGAAGUUUCAGCUAAUGACAGGGACUAAUCACAAUAAUUCCCCAUACCAGGCACGGCAGAACAAGAAAGGAGAAAAGGUGUGGUGUGAUCACUGCCACAAACCACGUCACACCAGGGAGACUUGCUGGGAUUUACACGGAAAACCUCCUAAUUGGAAGCCAUGAAAUUUUAGUCAGUCAAACCGUGACUCAAAGGCCUUCCACUCAGCCACUGAGGAGAAUGGAAACACUGCAACUACAGCUACGACACCUUCAUUCAAUAAGGAACAGUUAGAACAACUGUAUAAACUUUUUCAGUCCACACAAGUGACUAAUCCAGUAUCUUCUUCUUGUUCCUUAGCCCAAAAAGGUACUUAUCAAUCUGUUGUCUUUAAUGUGUCCACUAUUCCUCUUUGUCCAUGGAUAAUAGAUUCAGGUGCCACCGAUCAUAUGACUGGAUGCUCUAAAUUAUUUUCUUUCUAUAGUCCUUGUGCAGGCAAUCAAAAAAUUAAGAUUGCUGAUGGCUCCCUCUCGGCAAUUGCUGGGAAAGGGUCAAUUGUUAUCUCUAAUACUCUCGUUCUUCACGGUGUCCUUCAUGUUCCAAAUCUCUCUUCUAAUCUUUUGUCUGUAAGUAAAAUAACUCGUGAUUUAAAGUGCUGUGCUAAAUUUCUUCCAAAUUGUUGUGAAUUUCAGGAACUGGAUACGGGGAGGAUGAUUGGCAAUGCUAGAGAGUAUGGCGGUCUGUAUUACUUUGAUGAUGGGAACUCUAUGUGUCAGCAACAGAAAAUUUCGAAUCUCGGAGCAUGUUUUAGUUCUACUGAUGAUAAAAUAAUGCUAUGGCACCGUAGGUUAGGCCAUCCUAGCUUUUUAUAUUUAAAACAUUUGUUUCCAACCUUAUUUCGUAAUAAACUUUUAUUGUCUUUUCAAUGAGAUAUUUGUCAGUUAGCUAAACACCAUCAUGCAUCUUUUCCUAUUCAACCAUAUAAAGCAUCCAAGCCUUUUACCCUUAUUCAUAGUGAUGUGUGGGGUCCCUCUAGGACAUUCACCAAUUCUGGAAAAAGAUGGUUUAUAACAUUUAUUGAUGACCAUACACGCCUAAGUUGGGUCUACCUACUCAAAGAAAAAUCUGAAGCAGAACAUGUUUUUAAAAACUUUUAUAAUAUGGUUGAAACACAAUUUCAAACAAAAAUUCAAGUGUUUCGAAGUGACAAUGGGAAGGAAUACUUUAAUCAAAUAUUGGGGUCAUUUUUCUUAGAAAAAGGAAUUGUUCAUCACAGCUCUUGUAAUGACACUCCUCAACAAAACGGAAUAGCAGAACGGAAAAAUAAGCACCUCCUAGAAGUAGCUAGGUCUUUAAUGUUCACCACUAAAGUUCCUAAAUACUUAUGGGGGGAAGCAAUUCUUACUGCUACAUAUCUUAUUAAUAGGAUGCCAUCAAGAGUUUUGAACUUUCAGCCACCAUUGACAGUUUUUAAAAAAUUCUUUCCAAUGACACGUUUGACUUCAGAUUUACCUUUAAAGGUCUUUGGAUGUGUUGCCUUUGUACAUAUACACAAUCAUAAUAGGGAUAAACUAGAUCCAAAGGCUGUAAAAUGUGUUUUUCUGGGCUACUCUCCUACUCAAAAAGGGUAUAAAUGUUUUGAUCCUAACAAACAAAAAUAUUUUGUCACGAUGGAUGUUACCUUCUUUGAGUCUCAAAGUUUUUUUAAUCCUCCUCUUCAGGGGGGUUAAGGAAAUGAAGACUCGAUGUUUGAGCUUGACAUGAAUACUAAUGGUGAGGCAAUUAUUGAAACUGAAAUUUUUAAUCCUAAUACCUUGAAUAAAGAGGAUAGGAGGAUUACCUUAGUGCCUGAACAUAAAACUGACACUACGAUAAUAGACGAGACACGCUUCAAUGAUGAGAGAUUGUUCGGGAAAACUUACACUAGGGAGAAACGGACUCAAAGUAAGAAAGAUGCAGAGAUACUUCCUCAACGCCAUGAAUCUGAUCCAAUUCCAGAUCCAAAAAACAUUGAUUUUGAAAAUUCAGGUACAAUCUCUAAAUUUAUAGAGUAUGAGUCUUUAUCUAUCCCACAAGUACAUUCUGAUCCUCUAGAUCUUCCCAUUGCUCUUAGGAAAGAAAUUAGAUCAUGUACUCAACAUCCCCUUUCCAAUUUUGUGUCUUAUAAGAACCUGUCAUCAUCUUAUCAUACUUUUGUCUCACAAUUGUCAAGUGUGGAUAUACCUAAGUCUAUACAGGAAGCGCUAAAGGUUCCUGAAGGGAAGAAGGCUGUUCGUGAAGAAAUGGAGGCUCUAGAAAAAAACAGAACGUGGGAGAUGGUUUAUUUGCCUGAAGGAAAAUUGAUUGUUGGUUGCAAGUGGAUUUUCACUGUGAAAUACAACUCAGAUGGAUCCUUGGAACGCUAUAAAGCAAGGUUAGUAGCAAAAGGAUUCACACAGACCUACGGAGUUGAUUAUCAAGAGACAUUUGCUCCCGUAGCCAAACUAAAUACCAUUCGAAUACUACUCUCUGUAGCUGUUAAUUUGGAGUGGCCAUUGUUUCAAUUGGAUGUUAAAAAUGCGUUUCUCAACGGAGAAUUGGAAGAGGAAGUAUAUAUGGGUGCGCCCCCUGGUUUUGAAGACAAGUUUGGAGGAAAGGUGUGUAAAUUGAAGAAAUCCCUUUAUGGACUGAAGCAGUCUCCUCGUGCUUGGUUCGAGAGAUUUACCAGGUUUGUUAGAAAAGAAGGAUAUAGUCAAGGACAAUCUGAUCAUACAAUGUUCGUGAAACACACAGAUGGUGCAAAGAUGGCUGUCCUGAUUGUAUACGUAGACGACAUAAUACUCACUGGAAGCGAUGAUGAUGAGAUGAGUAGGUUGAAGAAGCACCUGGCAUCAGAAUUUGAAAUUAAGGAUUUGGGUCCCUUACGCUAUUUCCUGGGUAUGGAAGUUGCAAGAUCUAGAAUGGGAAUUUCUGUGUCACAAAGAAAGUAUGUUCUGGACUUGCUAGAGGAGACAGGAAUGAGUGGUUGCAGACCAAGUGAUACGCCCGUGGAUCCUAAUCAGAAGUUAGGGGGGGUUUCCGAUGGAGUUCCAGUUGAUAAAGGUAGAUAUCAACGUCUUGUAGGGAAACUCAUUUAUUUAUCUCACACAAGACCUGAUAUUGCCUUUGCCGUUAGUGCUGUAAGUCAAUAUAUGCACUCACCCUAUGUGGAACAUUUGGAGGCAGUUCACAAGAUUCUCAGGUACUUAAAGAGUACACCUGGAAGAGGGUUAUUAUUUAAGAAGAGUGAUCAAAGGAGUGUAGAAGUCUUCACAAAUGCAGACUGGGCAGGCUCAAUUUCAGAUAGAAGAUCAACAUCUGGUUACUGUACAUUCUUAUGGGGAAAUUUAAUUACUUGGCGAAGCAAAAAACAAAACGUAGUUGCUAGGAGUAGUACUGAAGUUGAGUUUAGGGCCAUGGCAAAUGGAGUUUGCGAGGUGUUAUGGAUUAAAAGAGUCCUUGGAAAACUGAAACUAGAUAUUGAAGCACCUAUGAGACUGUUCUGUGAUAAUAAAUCAGCAAUAAGCAUUGCAAAUAAUCCUGUUCAGUAUGAUCGUACAAAGCACAUUGAGAUUGAUAGGCAUUUUAUUAAAGAAAAGCUGGAGAAUGGAGUUAUCUGUAUGCCGUUCAUCCCUUCAAAGCAACAAACAACAGAUGUUCUUACCGAGGGACACUUCAAGCCAAAGUUUGAAUCUUUCAUUGACAAGUUGGGCAUGAUUAAUAUCCAUGCACCAACUUGAGGGGGGGUGUAGAAAAUAUGGUAAGAUUAGAAUAGUUGACAUUCCUGAUUUCUAGGAUUAGUUGUCUAAUUUGUCUGAUUUGUAAAGCUAUUACUAAUUUGUAUAUUUCCAGAAAUUAGGAAGUUAAAUUAGGGAUGUGCAGUCCUAUAAAUUAAUCCUAUUGUACUGGCUGUUAGAGGUACUUAAAAAUAAGAAAAGAUAUUUAUUCUUUUCCUCUGUUAACAAAUUUCAUUGGUUUUAUUGUUCUCAAUCUCUUUAUAUCUUUCUAAUUUUUAUACUAAGGUUAAGGAUGAUACCUUAUUCAAUGAAAUAAAUUUCUUUUUAUUCAAUUAAUUCCCUCCAUGUGUGUUUUAAUGUUUAUGGUUCUGUUUCAAAUGGUUAGUUGGAUAUUAUUAAAUCUGUUCACCAAUUUUGACAUGCAAUAUUGAUUGUUAGAAUUAAUAUUAUAAAUUUAUGCUUGAGUCUAUAAAAUUUAUAUGUUAUUACCUUUGAUUCCAUGUCUUUCAUAAAAUUGUUUGCACAACGUGCUUAGGAAGACUUUGACACUUUGUUAUUCAAUAUGCUUAUAUGGGAUGCUUAGAUAUCACACUAUUAAACAAGAAAAGAACCAAAACAAGAUUACUUUUAACUGAGCUUAAUUGUUUUAUCUAUGAGUAGACAUAGAUUGAUUUCAAGUUUUCUCUAAAAUUUGGAAUUAAUUGGUAAUUUAAUAUUUCUUGAAUUGAAUAGUAGUGGAUUCUGAAACCCCCGUAACUUCAAUCUCUUGAGUUCUCGUGUUAAUUUACUCGUUUUAAUUUUAUUUGCAUCUUUAGUUUUAAUCUCUUCAAACAAAAUAUUUUCUCUUCUAACUAGGGUAGAAUUAUAAUUAGCUUAAGAUUAGAUUUGACUUCUCUAAAAUCAGCAAUUCCUAUGGGUUCAACCUCGUUAUUUCUAGUCCAUACUUCAAUAGACUCAUGCACUUGCGAGUACAUUAAAACUUGCACAACAGUGCUGUUAAGUUCAAUUAAACAAAGACUACAAUGCCACAAUUCUCUGUAUAUAAUUGGGCUAGUUGCUUGUGGAGUCUUCAUUUGUGGCUUAUGCCCAUCAAACAGAACAGUGCUUUUCCAA
rnacentral:lncRNA from 1 species